rnacentral:rRNA from 1 species
CCUACGGGAGGCAGCAGUAGGGAAUCUUCCACAAUGGGCGCAACCCUGACGGAGCAACACCGCGUGAGUGAAGAAGGGUUUCGGCUUGUAAAGCUCUGUUGUUGGAGAAGAACGUGCGAGAGAGUAACUGUUCACGCAGUGACGGUAUCCAACCAGAAAGUCACGGCUAACUACGUGCCAGCAGCCGCGGUAAUACGUAGGUGGCAAGCAUUAUCCGGAUUUAUUGGGCGUAAAGCGAGCGCAGGCGGUAGCAUAGGGCUGAUGUGAAAGCCUUAGGCUUAACCGAAGAAGUGCAUCGGAAACCGGGCGACUUGAGUGCAGAAGAGGACAGUGGAACUCCAUGUGUAGCGGUGAAAUGCGUAGAUAUAUGGAAGAACACCAGUGGCGAAGGCGACUGUCUGGUCUGCAACUGACGCUGAGGCUCGAAAGCGUGGGUAGCGAACAGGAUUAGAUACCCGUGUAGUC